rnacentral:rRNA from 1 species
UACAGAGGUCUCAAGCGUUGUUCGGAUUUAUUGGGCGUAAAGGGUGCGUAGGCGGCGCGGUAAGUCGGAUGUGAAAUCUCGGGGCUUAACUCCGAAACUGCAUUCGAUACUACCGUGCUUGAGGACUGGAGAGGAGACUGGAAUUUACGGUGUAGCGGUGAAAUGCGUAGAUAUCGUAAGGAAGACCAGUGGCGAAGGCGGGUCUCUGGACAGUUCCUGACGCUGAGGCACGAAAGCGUGGGGAUCAAACAGG